rnacentral:rRNA from 1 species
CAGUAGCCGCGGUAAUACGUAGGGUGCAAGCGUUAAUCGGAAUUACUGGGCGUAAAGCGUGCGCAGGCGGUUAUAUAAGACAGAUGUGAAAUCCCCGGGCUCAACCUGGGAACUGCAUUUGUGACUGUAUAGCUAGAGUACGGCAGAGGGGGAUGGAAUUCCGCGUGUAGCAGUGAAAUGCGUAGAUAUGCGGAGGAACACCGAUGGCGAAGGCAAUCCCCUGGGCCUGUACUGACGCUCAUGCACGAAAGCGUGGGGAGCAAACAGGAUUAGAUACCCGUGUAGUCCCUGUCUCUUAUAA